rnacentral:rRNA from 1 species
AGAAUCAACGCUGGCGGCGUGCCUAACACAUGCAAGUCGAACGAGAAAGGGGUAGCAAUACCCUGAGUAAAGUGGCGCACGGGUGAGUAACACGUGACUAACCUACCCUUGAGUGGGGGAUAACUGAGGGAAACCUUAGCUAAUACCGCAUAAUACCCACGGGUCAAAGGAGCAAUUCGCUCGAGGAGGGGGUCGCGGCCGAUUAGUUAGUUGGCGGGGUAAUGGCCCACCAAGACGGUGAUCUGUAU